rnacentral:snRNA from 1 species
AGAUGUGAGGGUGAUCUGGCUGCGACAUCUGUCACCCCAUUGAUCGCCAGGGUUGGUUUGGCUGAUCUGGCUGGUUAGGCGGGUGACCCCUUCCUCCCACACCGCUCCCAUAUGCGUCCCUCCCGAAGCUGCAUGCUUGGUCGAAGAGGACGGCCUUCCCCGAAUAGAGAUGGACUGGUCUUUGGUCGAGGGUAUAUAAGUAGCUGCACUCCCCUGCUAGAACCUCCAAACAAGCUCUCAAGAUAUAAAGCAGAACCAACUGUUGACUAAUCAUGAGCCUAAAGACAAGAAUAUUGCAGAUGAAGAUUU